UACAGAGGUGGCAAGCGUUGUUCGGAAUUACUGGGCGUAAAGGGCGCGUAGGCGGUCUUUUAAGUCUUGUGUGAAAUCCCUCAGCUCAACUGAGGAACUGCACGGGAUACUGGAAGACUUGAGUUCGGGAGAGGGAAGUGGAAUUCCGGGUGUAGUGGUGGAAUACGUAGAUAUCCGGAGGAACACCAGCGGCGAAGGCGGCUUUCUGGUCUGAUACUGACGCUGAGGCGCGAAGGCGUGGGGAGCGAUCCGG
rnacentral:rRNA from 1 species